UACGUAGGGUCCGAGCGUUGUCCGGAAUUACUGGGCGUAAAGAGCUCGUAGGUGGUUUGUCGCGUUGUCCGUGAAAACUCACAGCUCAACUGUGGGCGUGCGGGCGAUACGGGCAGACUGGAGUACUGCAGGGGAGACUGGAAUUCCUGGUGUAGCGGUGGAAUGCGCAGAUAUCAGGAGGAACACCGGUGGCGAAGGCGGGGUCUCUGGGCAGUAACUGACGCUGGAGGAGCGAAAAGCCGUGGGGGAGCGAACAGG
rnacentral:rRNA from 1 species